rnacentral:rRNA from 1 species
AGAGUUUGAUCCUGGCUCAGGAUGAACGCUAGCGGCAGGCUUAACACAUGCAAGUCGAGGGGUAGAGGUUGCUUGCAACCUUGAGACCGGCGCACGGGUGCGUAACGCGUAUGCAACCUACCUUUUACAGAGGGAUAGCCCAGAGAAAUUUGGAUUAAUACCUCAUAGUAUAUAUCUUUCACAUGUUAGGUAUAUUAAAGUUCCAACGGUAAAAGAUGGGCAUGCGUCCUAUUAGCUAGAUGGUAAGGUAACGGCUUACCAUGGCUACGAUAGGUAGGGGUCCUGAGAGGGAGAUCCCCCACACUGGUACUGAGACACGGACCAGACUCCUACGGGAGGCAGCAGUGAGGAAUAUUGGACAAUGGGCGCAAGCCUGAUCCAGCCAUGCCGCGUGCAGGAAGAAGCAUCUAUGGUGUGUAAACUGCUUUUGUACAGGAAGAAACAUCCCGACGUGUCGGGACUUGACGGUACUGUAAGAAUAAGGAUCGGCUAACUCCGUGCCAGCAGCCGCGGUAAUACGGAGGAUCCAAGCGUUAUCCGGAAUCAUUGGGUUUAAAGGGUCCGUAGGCGGUUUGGUAAGUCAGUGGUGAAAGCCCGCAGCUCAACUGUGGAACGGCCAUUGAUACUGCCAUACUUGAAUUACAAGGAAGUAACUAGAAUAUGUAGUGUAGCGGUGAAAUGCUUAGAUAUUACAUGGAAUACCAAUUGCGAAGGCAGGUUACUACUUGUGGAUUGACGCUGAUGGACGAAAGCGUGGGGAGCGAACAGGAUUAGAUACCCUGGUAGUCCAA